rnacentral:sRNA from 1 species
AUUGGUCGCAGGUUCGAAUCCUGCACGACCCACCAGUUUUAGCAUCGAAGACAGAUGUUAAGCGUGUAGGAUAACGUUGCGUCAGCAACGGCCCGUAGGGCGAGCGAAGCGAGUCAUCCUGCACGACCCACCA